rnacentral:rRNA from 1 species
GACGUAGGGCGCGAGCGUUGUCCGGAUUUAUUGGGCGUAAAGAGCUCGUAGGCGGCUUGUCGCGUCGUCCGUGAAAACCUGGGGCUCAACCCCAGGCUUGCGGUCGAUACGGGCAGGCUCGAGUUCGGUAGGGGAGACUGGAAUUCCUGGUGUAGCGGUGAAAUGCGCAGAUAUCAGGAGGAACACCGGUGGCGAAGGCGGGUCUCUGGGCCGAUGCUGACGCUGAGGAGCGAAAGCGUGGGGAGCGAACAGG